GCGGAUGUAGUUCAAUGGUAGAACCUCAGCUUCCCAAGCUGAUGACGCGGGUUCGAUUCCCGUCAUCCGCU
rnacentral:tRNA from 1 species